rnacentral:rRNA from 1 species
CCAUCUAUUCUUUGCUUAGUUGAAACGCAGUUACAAAAAAGUCGAGUUGAAGGUCUUCGGUUUUCAUUAGGUUUUGAUUUCAGUUUUGUUGUUGGCAGUAGUGGUCGAAGGGGAGGUAUCUGUAUCUUUUGGAAAAACUCGUUGAAUGUUGAAAUAAAGAAUUUUUCGGAGUAUCAUGUGGACGCAUGGGUUCUUGAACCAGGAAGGGAACAAUGGCGUCUUUCUUGUUUUUAUGGAGAAGCAACAAGAUCUCUCCGGUACAAAACCUGGAAUAUAAUGACAAUGCUGAGAGGUGAAAGCACGCUGCCAUGGAUGUGCAUUGGUGAUUUUAACGAAAUUUUGCGGCCCGAGGAGCAGUUUGGCCCAAAUGAGCGUGAUAGUGCACAGAUCGAGGCUUUCAGAGAGGCUGUGGAUAUUUGUGGACUGGCUGAUUUGGGUUAUCGUGAUUGGAUUGGACUUGGGAGAAGAAAGUGUCAGCAGGAUAUUUUUGCAGGGUCCGGCUGGAUAGAGCCUUGGGGACGGCUGAUUGGUCGGCCCUCUUUCCGUUUGCCUCGGUGGAACACCUAA